GUGAGGGAUGAAGGCCUUCGGGUUGUAAACCUCUGUCUUCGGGGACGAUGAUGACGGUACCCGAGGAGGAAGCCACGGCUAACUACGUGCCAGCAGCCGCGGUAAGACGUAGGUGGCGAGCGUUGUCCGGAAUUAUUGGGCGUAAAGGGCGUGUAGGCGGCCUGCUAAGUCAGACGUGAAACCACGAGGCUUAACCUCGUGACUGCGUUUGAUACUGGCGGGCUUGAGGACAGGAGAGGGAAGCGGAACUCCGUGUGUAGCGGUGAAAUGCGUAGAUAUACGGAAGAACACCAGUGGCGAAGGCGGCUUCCUGGACUGUCCCUGACGCUGAGGCGCGAAAGCCAGGGGAGCGAACGGGAUUAGAUACCCCGGUAGUCCUGGCCGUAAACGAUGGGUACUAGGUGUGGGGGGUAUCGACCCCCUCCGUGCCGGAGUCAACACAAUAAGUACCCCGCCUGGGGAGUACGGCCGCAAGGUUGAAACCC
rnacentral:rRNA from 1 species